rnacentral:rRNA from 1 species
AUGGCUGACAAUGCUGCCGAGGUGCAGCAGACACCUCAAGUUGUGGAGAAGAGCCAGGCCGCGGAGAAGAGCGAGAAGAAGGCGGAGCUGAAGCCCGAUGAGGCGAAGAAGCUGAUCGAGUUCAUGGAGAGUAAGUACGACGAGCACGUGGCGAAGGUGGACUCGUUCGACGACUUCUACCACGCCAUCUACGAGCUCAUCCAGAAGUUCUGCGAGGAGCGCGGGCAGGUGCAGUACAGGAUCCCGCCCAGGGAGAAGCUGCAGGAGGUGUACACGAAGCACCACAAGGCGGGGAGUGGCGAGGUGAAGCGGGAGGAGUUCGCGAAGAUGAGCGGGGAGCUGGUGAAGCGGGACAGCUUCAGCUUCGGCAAGGCGACGACGGAGCUGCUCAUGUUCCUGUUCGGCGCGCCCAUGUGCGCGCUGGUGGCCAAGCGGGUCCUGCCGGGGCUGGGAUGGCUCUCCGACGACACCGUCAUUCCGCUCGCCACCUCCGGCGCCGUCGCCUUCCUUGUCCACACCAAAAAGCUCUGA